UACGGGGGGGGCAAGCGUUGUUCGGAAUUACUGGGCGUAAAGGGCGCGUAGGCGGUUCGCUAAGUUGGAUGUGAAAACUCUGGGCUUAACCCAGAGCCUGCAUCCAAAACUGGCAAACUUGAGUACUGGAGGGGAAAGCGGAAUUCCUGGUGUAGCGGUGAAAUGCGCAGAUAUCAGGAAGAACACCCGUGGCGAAGGCGGCUCUCUGGAACGCAACUGACGCUGAGACGCGAAAGCGUGGGGAGCAAACAGG
rnacentral:rRNA from 1 species